GGACGGGGGCCCCGCACAAGCGGUGGAGCAUGUGGUUUAAUUCGAUGAUACGCGAGGAACCUUUACCUGGGCUCAAAUGUAUGUUGACGUAUUCUGAAAGGGAUACUUCUUCGGACAAUAUACAAGGUGCUGCAUGGUUGUCGUCAGCUCGUGCCGUGAGGUGUCGGGUUAAGUCCCAUAACGAGCGCAACCCCUAUCAUUAGUUGCCAUCAGGUCAAGCUGGGGACUCUAAUGAAACUGCCUACGCAAGUAGUGAGGAAGGUGGGGAUGACGUCAAAUCAGCACGGCCCUUACGUCCAGGGCUACACACGUGCUACAAUGGCCGGUACAAAGGGCAGCUACCUGGUGACAGGAUGCUAAUCUCAAAAGCCGGUCUCAGUUCGGAUCGGAGUCUGCAACUCGACUUCAUGAAGCUGGAAUCGCUAGUAAUCGUGGAUCAGCCAAGCCGCGGUGAAUACGUUCCCGGGCCUU
rnacentral:rRNA from 1 species